GAUGAACGCUAGCUACAGGCUUAACACAUGCAAGUCGAGGGGAAACGACAUCCAAAGCUUGCUUUUGAUGGGCGUCGACCGGCGCACGGGUGAGUAACGCGUAUCCAACCUGCCCAUCACUUGGGAAUAACCUUGCGAAAGUAAGACUAAUACCCAAUGACAUCCCACGAAGACAUCUGAAUGGGAUUAAAGAUUUAUCGGUGAUGGAUGGGGAUGCGUCUGAUUAGCUUGUUGGCGGGGUAACGGCCCACCAAGGCAACGAUCAGUAGGGGUUCUGAGAGGAAGGUCCCCCACAUGGGAACUGAGACACGGUCCAAACUCCUACGGGCGGCAGCAGUGAGGAAUAUUGGUCAAUGGGCGAGAGCCUGAACCAGCCAAGUAGCGUGCAGGAUGACGGCCCUAUGGGUUGUAAACUGCUUUUAUAAGGGAAUAAAGUGGGUCUCGUGAGACUUUUUGCAUGUACCUUAUGAAUAAGGACCGGCUAAUUCCGUG
rnacentral:rRNA from 1 species